rnacentral:rRNA from 1 species
CAGUCGCCGCGGGAACACGAAGGGUGCAAGCGUUAAUCGGAAUUACUGGGCGUAAAGCGCGCGUAGGUGGUUUGGUAAGAUGGAUGUGAAAUCCCCGGGCUCAACCUGGGAACUGCAUCCAUAACUGCCUGACUAGAGUACGGUAGAGGGUGGUGGAAUUUCCUGUGUAGCGGUGAAAUGCGUAGAUAUAGGAAGGAACACCAGUGGCGAAGGCGACCACCUGGACUGAUACUGACACUGAGGUGCGAAAGCGUGGGGAGCAAACAGGAUUAGAUACCCCUGUAGUCCCUGUCUCUUAUAA